AUGGAUCACCAAUCUGUUAUUACACCAUGGGACCUGGAGUGCAUGCUAUGCGACGAAGCGGCAGAGCCGAAGGCCUUGCCGCUAUCGCUUCUGAAAAGAAUCACACAUGAUUUCUCUGAUGAGCAAGCAAUUGGCAGAGGUGGAUUCGCGGUGGUAUAUAAGGGAAUGCUUGAGAAUAGGACCGUGGCCGUGAAGAGAAUGUCGAAUACGUAUAUGUACGAGAAGGAGUUCCAGCGAGAAGUUGAAUGUCUCAUGAUAGCCAAGCAUAAAAAUGUAGUACGGUUUCUAGGAUAUUGUGCUGACACACAAGGGAAUAUGGCAAGGUAUGAAGGAAAAUUCGUCAUGGCAGAUGUCCAGCAAAGGUUGCUAUGUUUCGAGUAUCUUCCUAAAGGGAGUCUUCAUGAGUAUAUCACUGAUAUGUCUUGUGGACUUCGGUGGAGAGACCGCUAUCAGAUUAUCACGGGAAUUUGUCAAGGGUUACAUUAUCUUCAUCAUAAACAUAUUGUCCACUUAGAUCUAAAGCCCGCGAAUAUAUUGUUGGAUGAUAAUUGGGUACCAAAAAUUACCGAUUUCGGCAUAUCAAGGUGCUUUCAUGAAAUGCAAAGCCAAGUUAUUACUAAGAUAACUGGAACGCCCGGAUAUUUGGCACCAGAAUCUUAUAACCAUACUAAAGUCACAUACCGGCAUUCGUACCAGCUUGAUAUCUACAGUCUUGGUAUAGUAAUCAUAGAGAUACUCACUGGAAAUAAGGGGUAUCACGAUGUUGACAAGGUAGUUGAAAGUUGGAGUAACAUGUUGGAGCAAUCACAGAGCGAGGUACAGAAGAAACAAAUACGAGUAUGUGCUCAGAUAGGAAUAGAGUGCACAAACUUUGACCCGGCGAAGAGACCGGAUACACUACAUAUAAUUAGUAGACUCGAUGAAACCGAAAGUAUGGGCGGAUAUAUCAAAACAGGCAUGAUUACUUCACAACAGGUCGGAGAUGUUCUAAAUAAACUGCAUCAAGAUGCACCUAACACGCCAAGAGAAUCAAGCUCAGAGAGAAUGCCACUGUAG
rnacentral:rRNA from 1 species